CAUCUUGAAUUAACAUAUUUCAUAUCAAAAGAAGAUUUUUGGAAAGAGAACAUAAAUGAAAAGCUAAUAUUACCGAUUAUGUGGUUAUCAAUAAAAUUCUCUGUAGUUCAAUAUAUAUACGUAUAUUGGCGAAAAUGCUAGGACACCAAUAUUGUGAAUUGUGAAAUUAUCAGACAGAAAAAUCCUGAAAGUCUAAUGUGUACAUACUACCGCGUCGCCAGGAAACGAAAGCUUGCUAUCAAAGGGUAAACGCUGUACCCUAUUAGACCGGUAUUUUUGCAACGAUACUCCAGAUCCAGGUUCUCGAGAGGAAGGAUAACGGUAAUCGUAGCGUUGGUUGGCGGCCUCGCAGAGGAAGGCAGCCACGGUGUUCAUGAUCAGAAGAGCGGCAGUAUCCUGGUCCUCCCUUUAGUAGUCUCAUACCACUAGCGUAUACCCUUACUAUGGUACCCCUGGCGGCGCGGUGCUAGCCAUGACACGAGAAUGUGAUUAAUGAUCGCAACAGAGAGCCAUGCACCGUACACCGCUCUCCUCUCUUUUCCCUCUUCUCCCCCGCCGUAAACUCGCUGGGUUCUCCUUCUCUAUCGUCCGUUCCUCUCUUCCCUGGACGGCCACCACGUUUUCUCUUCCCUCUGGUAUCGUUCUCUCUUUCAGCAACCCCUGCUGUUGCCGCUGACGUUGCUGCCGCGGUUGCUGCUGCCGCAACUGCCCUCUCUCUUUCUUUCUCUCUUAUUCUCUACUUGCAAUCUGACUGCCUGCCAACUUUCUUCCAUAGUUCUUCAUCCUCGUUCUCCCUUCUCGUGGCCACCGCUGAUUAUCCAUCGACUAUUUCCAACGCUGCCUCCAGCUGGUUUUCGCCGUUUUUCCUCGAGAUUCUCUUGUUCGACGCACCAACGUUGGCCUCAGUUCGACAGAAGAUGAGCAUUCUCGAGGGAAGAAUGAAGAGAAGACAAGUUUUAAAUAAUUCUACAACGAACUCAGUCUAACAGAUACUGUACAGCUUCUUGGAUUUGGUAAAAUAGAUCAGAUUUGAGUUUAGAAAUUUCAGAAAUCUUGGAACAGUAUGUUUGUUUCAAUACUGGGAUCUGUUAAGUAAUUGCGGAAGGUGUUUGUACGGUUUUUCCUAAGGGCUGAAUUAUAUUAUACAGAGUGGAGAGUUUCGUGUCCUCCGCGUUAAAUGAACCUGUCCAAGACAGGAGUCGUAAGAAAUGAAGAAGUCACGGGAACAGAGGAAGAAAUCAGUCAGUGCCUGCUCCAAGCACGAUGACUUUGACUCUAUCGACUCGUCUUCCGCUUAUCUAAAUCACUUAUCGAUAUCUUGCCCUGAUCCUGCUUUUCUUCAAUAUCCGAUCGCCGUCGAUCUUAAUAAUUGCACUUCCUCGUUUCGAUUUCAACGAUCCCUUAUAUAUCAAAAGGCAUACACGAAGAACCCGCAUUCCAACUUCUACCAAAGUAACUAGACAAAAUAAACCAUCGACUGGUUCCACUCACCAAACUCUCCUCUUCACGUCACGUGGAACAAUCGUUUGAACUGCAGAACAAUAAACCACCUCUUUGAUA